rnacentral:rRNA from 1 species
AUUGAACGCUGGCGGCAUGCCUUACACAUGCAAGUCGAACGGCAGCACGGACUUCGGUCUGGUGGCGAGUGGCGAACGGGUGAGUAAUGCAUCGGAACGUGCCAUUGAGUGGGGGAUAACGUAGCGAAAGUUGCGCUAAUACCGCAUAUUCUGUGAGCAGGAAAGCAGGGGACCGCAAGGCCUUGCGCUCUUUGAGCGGCCGAUGUCAGAUUAGCUAGUUGGUGAGGUAAAGGCUUACCAAGGCGACGAUCUGUAGCGGGUCUGAGAGGAUGAUCCGCCACACUGGAACUGAGACACGGUCCAGACUCCUACGGGAGGCAG